rnacentral:rRNA from 1 species
AGAGUUUGAUCCUGGCUCAGGACGAACGCUGGCGGCGUGCCUAAUACAUGCAAGUAGAACGCUGAAGGAGGAGCUUGCUUCUCUGGAUGAGUUGCGAACGGGUGAGUAACGCGUAGGUAACCUGCCUGGUAGCGGGGGAUAACUAUUGGAAACGAUAGCUAAUACCGCAUAACAGUAGAUGUUGCAUGACAUUUGCUUAAAAGGUGCAAUUGCAUCACUACCAGAUGGACCUGCGUUGUAUUAGCUAGUUGGUGGGGUAACGGCUCACCAAGGCGACGAUACAUAGCCGACCUGAGAGGGUGAUCGGCCACACUGGGACUGAGACACGGCCCAGACUCCUACGGGAGGCAGCAGUAGGGAAUCUUCGGCAAUGGGGGCAACCCUGACCGAGCAACGCCGCGUGAGUGAAGAAGGUUUUCGGAUCGUAAAGCUCUGUUGUAAGAGAAGAACGAGUGUGAGAGUGGAAAGUUCACACUGUGACGGUAUCUUACCAGAAAGGGACGGCUAACUACGUGCCAGCAGCCGCGGUAAUACGUAGGUCCCGAGCGUUGUCCGGAUUUAUUGGGCGUAAAGCGAGCGCAGGCGGUUAGAUAAGUCUGAAGUUAAAGGCUGUGGCUUAACCAUAGUACGCUUUGGAAACUGUUUAACUUGAGUGCAAGAGGGGAGAGUGGAAUUCCAUGUGUAGCGGUGAAAUGCGUAGAUAUAUGGAGGAACACCGGUGGCGAAAGCGGCUCUCUGGUCUGUAACUGACGCUGAGGCUCGAAAGCGUGGGGAGCGAACAGGAUUAGAUACCCUGGUAGUCCACGCCGUAAACGAUGAGUGCUAGGUGUUGGAUCCUUUCCGGGAUUCAGUGCCGCAGCUAACGCAUUAAGCACUCCGCCUGGGGAGUACGACCGCAAGGUUGAAACUCAAAGGAAUUGACGGGGGCCCGCACAAGCGGUGGAGCAUGUGGUUUAAUUCGAAGCAACGCGAAGAACCUUACCAAGUCUUGACAUACUGUGAGGACACAAGAGAUUGUGUUGUUCUGACCUUUGGUUAGACACAGAUACAGGUGGUGCAUGGUUGUCGUCAGCUCGUGUCGUGAGAUGUUGGGUUAAGUC